UGGAAUCGCUAGUAAUCGCGAAUCAGAAAUGUCGCGGUGAAUACGUUCCCGGGUCUUGUACACACCGCCCGUCACACCAUGGGAGUCGGAAAUGCCCGAAGUCAGUGACCUAACCGAAAGGGAGGAGCUGCCGAAGGUGGAGCCGGUAACUGGGGUGAAGUCGUAACAAGGUAAC
rnacentral:rRNA from 1 species